UUCUCCCAGCCGCGGUAAUACGGAGGGGGCAACCGUUAUUCGGAUUUUUUGGGGGUAAAGCGCGGGCAGGCGGUCUGUCAAUUAGGAUGUGAAAUCCCCGGGCUCAACCUGGGAACUGCAUUCGAAAAUGCCAGGCUGGAGUCUUGUAGAGGGGGGUAGAAUUCCAGGUGAAGGGGUGAAAUGCUUAGAAAUUUGGAGGAAUACCGGUGGGGAAGGCGGCCCCCUGGACAAAGAUUAACGUUCAUGUGGCAAAGAAUGGGGAGCAACCAGGAUUAGAUACCCUGGUAGUCCACCCGUAAACGAUGAUGACUUGGAGGUUUUCCCUUGAGGAGUCGUCCGGAGCUAACGCGUAAGUCUCCGCUGGA
rnacentral:rRNA from 1 species